AUGAUCUCCAGCUUGCUGGGGGGAUUAGUGGCGAACGGGUGAGUAACACGUGAGUAACCUGCCCUUGACUCUGGGAUAAGCCUGGGAAACUGGGUCUAAUACUGGAUACGACCUUCCAUCGCAUGGUGGUUGGUGGAAAGCUUUUGUGGUUUUGGAUGGACUCGCGGCCUAUCAGCUUGUUGGUGGGGUAAUGGCCUACCAAGGCGACGACGGGUAGCCGGCCUGAGAGGGUGGACGGCCACACUGGGACUGAGACACGGCCCAGACUCCUACGGGAGGCAGCAGUGGGGAAUAUUGCACAAUGGGCGCAAGCCUGAUGCAGCGACGCCGCGUGAGGGAUGAAGGCCUUCGGGUUGUAAACCUCUUUCAGUAGGGAAGAAGCGAAAGUGACGGUACCUGCAGAAGAAGCGCCGGCUAACUACGUGCCAGCAGCCGCGGUAAUACGUAGGGCGCAAGCGUUAUCCGGAAUUAUUGGGCGUAAAGAGCUCGUAGGCGGUUUGUCGCGUCUGCCGUGAAAGUCCGGGGCUUAACUCCGGAUCUGCGGUGGGUACGGGCAGACUUGAGUGAUGUAGGGGAGACUGGAAUUCCUGGUGUAGCGGUGAAAUGCGCAGAUAUCAGGAGGAACACCGAUGGCGAAGGCAGGUCUCUGGGCAUUAACUGACGCUGAGGAGCGAAAGCAU
rnacentral:rRNA from 1 species